rnacentral:rRNA from 1 species
AGUGAACGCUGGCGGUAGGCCUAACACAUGCAAGUCGAACGGCAGCACAGUAAGAGCUUGCUCUUACGGGUGGCGAGUGGCGGACGGGUGAGGAAUACAUCGGAAUCUACUUUUUCGUGGGGGAUAACGUAGGGAAACUUACGCUAAUACCGCAUACGACCUACGGGUGAAAGCAGGGGAUCUUCGGACCUUGCGCGAUUGAAUGAGCCGAUGUCGGAUUAGCUAGUUGGCGGGGUAAAGGCCCACCAAGGCGACGAUCCGUAGCUGGUCUGAGAGGAUGAUCAGCCACACUGGAACUGAGACACGGUCCAGACUCCUACGGGAGGCAGCAGUGGGGAAUAUUGGACAAUGGGCGCAAGCCUGAUCCAGCCAUACCGCGUGGGUGAAGAAGGCCUUCGGGCUGUAAGCCCUUUUGUUGGGAAAGAAAAGCAGCAGGUUAAUACCCCGCUGUUCUGACGGUACCCAAAGAAUAAGCACCGGCUAACUUCGUG